rnacentral:rRNA from 1 species
UACGUAGGGGGCUAGCGUUGUCCGGAAUCAUUGGGCGUAAAGAGCGCGUAGGCGGCCCGGUAAGUCCACUGUGAAAGUCAAAGGCUCAACCUUUGAAUGUCAGCGGAUACUGCCGGGCUAGAGUCCGGAAGAGGCGAGUGGAACUCCUGGUGUAGCGGUGGAAUGCGCAGAUAUCAGGAAGAACACCAACGGCGAAGGCAGCUCGCUGGGACGGAACUGACGCUGAGGCGCGAAAGCGUGGGGAGCGAACAGG